AUGGCCCCCUCAGGCAGGGCUGAACGGUCGCCCACCUCCAUCAACCUGCCCCCCUUCUCAGGAGCUUCCCUUUCCGUCCCGGGAGAUAAAGUGUUUUUUCCUCUCGGCGUUAACGGCCGCCCCAUCCGCCGGGCUUGGCAAAUUGCAGGCCGACUGCGAGUGGGGCUUCCGUCCGGGGAGCCAGGCCGGGGGUGGGGGUCCGGGGCAAGCCCCCCUCCUCAGCCCCCACGGAGGAGGGAGCCCCAAGGGGGUGGGGGCUGCCCCCAGGGCCCAGAGGAGCCCGCACUGGGACAAACCCUGGCCAGGGGGCCGAGCACCCCGAAGGUGACCCUCGAGGGCCUGGCCGCGGUACUGGGGGGAGGCGGGAGGGGUCUUGGCUUCUGCCAGGGGCUCUCCCUGCUCAGCAAGAGGCUCUGGCAGUUGGGCCCUGACCACAAAUGCCCGCCCUGUGAGCCUCCAGGCAGGAUCCAGUGCCCACCUCGUGGCCAUGGUCAGCACCUGGCCCCCCACCUGGCCAACAGGCCUUGCACUACGGAGGUGAGUGUUUCCUGGAGGCUCCUGGCAGCGGGAACACAGAGCACAGCCACAGCAGAGGUUGCACAGGGGACCCCUAAGCCCACUCCCACUCCCCAGCGGGCAGCCCCUUCUCUCUCCACCGCCCAGACCCACUCAGUGCCCUGGGACGUCCACCGUGCCCGCAGCCUGCAGACUGCUGGGCCCGCCGAAGCCCGAAGCUCGGCGCCCUGGGGGCUGUGCUGCUCCCCAAGAGUCCUGUGCCUGGCUUUCACCCUGCCUCGGUGUCUCCACUACAGGAUGAGUCUUUCCCCCUCCGUUAAAGAAACAGUCAUCCAGCGAUACCACAGCAAAACCAUCAGAACGUGCCAAGAGGGCAUGAGGCACCGGGUGCCCUGGCGCUGGGGGAGUGACCGGGAGUUCUGCUGGGCAGUCCCUGGUGUUACAGGUCUCCCCGGACCAGCGGGUCCCCCAAGACAGUCCCAGGGACAGGCGCCCGGGAGCCACGCCGGAAGGCGGGCACAGAGACCACCAAAGCAGCGCCACGGGUAA
rnacentral:lncRNA from 1 species